rnacentral:rRNA from 1 species
GAUGAACGCUGGCGGCGUGCCUAAUACAUGCAAGUCGAGCGAACAGACGAGGAGCUUGCUCCUCUGACGUUAGCGGCGGACGGGUGAGGAACACGUGGAUAACCGACCUAUAAGACUGGGAUAACUUCGGGAAACCGGAGCUAAUACCGGACAAUAUAUUGAACCGCAUGGUUCAAUAGUGAAAGACGGUUUUGCUGUCACUUAUAGAUGGAUCCGCGCCGCAUUAGCUAGUUGGUAAGGUAACGGCUUACCAAGGCAACGAUGCGUAGCCGACCUGAGAGGGUGAUCGGCCACACUGGAACUGAGACACGGUCCAGACUCCUACGGGAGGCAGCAGUAGGGAAUCUUCCGCAAUGGGCGAAAGCCUGACGGAGCAACGCCGCGUGAGUGAUGAAGGUCUUCGGAUCGUAAAACUCUGUUAUUAGGGAAGAACAAAUGUGUAAGUAACUAUGCACGUCUUGACGGUACCUAAUCAGAAAGCCCCGGCUAACUACGUG